UCUCCCGUGAGGGAGCAGUCUCGCCUGACAUAUAUAACAGGCAACGGGGGUUGCGUUCGUUACCCCACUGAAGGGAACAGUUCAAACCACGAACUGACGACGACCAUGCAUCACCUGUGCAGCACCCUCGAAGGCUUCCAAUUUUUCAAAAGGAAUGCAGCUGCAUUUCUAACCUUGGUAAGGUUCUUCGUUUGCCGACGAAUUAAGCCACAUAAUCCACCGCUUGUGCGAGUCCCCGUCUAUUCAUUUGAGUUUUAAGCUUGCGCUCGUACUACCCAGGCGGCUCGCUUACCGCGUUAGCUUAGUCCCGCAGAGGGUCGAUACUCCGCAGAACGAGCGAGCAGCGUUUAGGGCUAGGACUAC
rnacentral:misc_RNA from 1 species